GGUUCACGUCAUCUACUCGGCAUUCCCUCCGAGUAUUAUUCCUCCCCAGGAAAAGAACUUUACAAUCUCACGACAUUCUUCGUUCACGCGGCGUCGCUCCGUCAGGCUUUCGCCCAUUGCGGAAGAUUCUUAG
rnacentral:rRNA from 1 species